AAGUCGUAACAAGGUUUCCGUAGGUGAACCUGCGGAAGGAUCAUUAUCCAAUGCGUCUGGGGCCGGCCAAACGGUUGUGCCCCGACCAAACAUACCCUUGAUUUUUUGCGUACAUAUUGUUUCCUCGGCAGGCUUGCCUGCCAGCAGGACCUUUUUAAACUCAGUGCAGUUGCAAUCAGCGUCAGAAAACUUUAAUAGUUACAACUUUCAACAACGGAUCUCUUGGUUCUGGCAUCGAUGAAGAACGCAGCGAAAUGCGAUAAGUAGUGUGAAUUGCAGAAUUCAGUGAAUCAUCGAAUCUUUGAACGCACAUUGCGCCCCUUGGUAUUCCAUGGGGCAUGCCUGUUCGAGCGUCAUCUGCACCUUCAAGCUCUGCUUGGUGUUGGGCGUUUUGUCUCUGCUUUGUGCGGAGACUCGCCUUGAAUCUACUGGCGGCCGUGACUUGGUGGUGAGCGCAGCACAUUUUGCGCACUCCGCCGGGCUCGCGGUGUCCACAAAGCACAUUCUUCGGUUUGACCUCGGAUCAGGUAGGGAUACCCGCUGAACUUAA
rnacentral:rRNA from 1 species